rnacentral:rRNA from 1 species
GAGUUUGAUUAUGGCUCAGGAUGAACGCUGGCGGCGUGCCUAACACAUGCAAGUCGAGCGAGAAGUAAAGAAAUGAAGCUUCGGUAGAUUUUCAUUAUGGAAAGCGGCGGACGGGUGAGUAACGCGUAGGCAACCUGCCCUGUACAGGGGGAUAGCCACCCGAAAAGGUGAUUAAUACACCAUGAUGCAAGAGAUACACAUGUAUCACUUGUCAAAGAUUUAUCGGUAUGGGAUGGGCCUGCGUCUGAUUAGCUAGUUGGUAGGGUAACGGCUUACCAAGGCAACGAUCAGUAGCCGACCUGAGAGGGUGAUCGGCCACAUUGGAACUGAGACACGGUCCAAACUCCUACGGGAGGCAGCAGUGGGGAAUAUUGCACAAUGGGGGAAACCCUGAUGCAGCAACGCCGCGUGAAGGAAGAAGGCCUUCGGGUUGUAAACUUCUGUCCUAGGGGAAGAAACAAAUGACAUUACCCUG